GUCUUCAUGGUGUAAUGGUUGCACACUCUGCCCGUAUUCGAGAGAUCCAGGUUCAAGUCCCGGUUAGGACA
rnacentral:tRNA from 1 species